UGAGUAAUGUCUGGGAAACUGCCUGAUGGAGGGGGAUAACUACUGGAAACGGUAGCUAAUACCGCNUAACGUCGCAAGACCAAAGAGGGGGGACCUUCGGGCCUCUUGCCAUCGGAUGUGCCCAGAUGGGAUUAGCUAGUAGGUGGGGUAACGGGCUCACCUAGGCGACGAUCCCUAGCUGGUCUGAGAGGAUGACCAGCCACACUGGAACUGAGACACGGUCCAGACUCCUACGGGAGGCAGCAUG
rnacentral:rRNA from 1 species